GAAAGCGUGGGGAGCGAACAGGAUUAGAUACCCUGGUAGUCCACGCCGUAAACGGUGGAUGCUGGAUGUGGGGCCCGUUCCACGGGUUCCGUGUCGGAGCUAACGCGUUAAGCAUCCCGCCUGGGGAGUACGGCCGCAAGGCUAAAACUCAAAGAAAUUGACGGGGGCCCGCACAAGCGGCGGAGCAUGCGGAUUAAUUCGAUGCAACGCGAAGAACCUUACCUGGGCUUGACAUGUUCCCGACAGCCGUAGAGAUAUGGCCUCCCUUCGGGGCGGGUUCACAGGUGGUGCAUGGUCGUCGUCAGCUCGUGUCGUGAGAUGUUGGGUUAAGUCCCGCAACGAGCGCAACCCUCGCCCUGUGUUGCCAGCACGUCGUGGUGGGAACUCACGGGGGACCGCCGGGGUCAACUCGGAGGAAGGUGGGGAUGACGUCAGAUCAUCAUGCCCCUUACGUCCAGGGCUUCACGCAUGCUACAAUGGCCGGUACAACGGGAUGCGACACGGCGACGUGGAGCGGAUCCCUGAAAACCGGUCUCAGUUCGGAUUGGAGUCUGCAACCCGACUCCAUGAAGGCGGAGUCGCUAGUAAUCGCGGAUCAGCAACGCCGCGGUGAAUGCGUUCCCGGGCCUUGUACACACCGCCCGUCAAGUCAUGAAAGUGGGUAGCACCCGAAGCCGGUGGCCUAACCCUUUGUGGAUGGAGCCGUCUAAGGUGAGACUCGUGAUUGGGACUAAGUCGUAACAAGGUAGCCGUACCGGAAGGUGCGGCUG
rnacentral:rRNA from 1 species